GGUGUGCUGGUUGAAAGAGGAGAAGACAUAAUCAAGGGGAUUUCUCAAAUGUAAUUUACUAACUUAUCCUACUACAUACAUGUAGGCAUAUGAGCAGUGAGCACUAUAUUCAAAUGUCUCAAUUCAAAAUGUCUAUCAAUUCAAAAAGCCAAAAUCAAUACUAUAUAUUGCAGCAUUGUGGGUCGGUCAAAUAUGUAUUUUUCCGACUUUAUUUCACGGGCCCUGAAAGCAACUCCUCUGAUUGGUCAAAAACUUUCAAAAGCAUCAUGGGAAAGC